GGGGCAGCUAUUCCAUAGAUUCUGAGAAGCUGGCUGCCUCAUGUUGUGUGGUUGGGCCGUACUCUGAGAACACAUACAUAAUUUGACCCCCGACAUGGUGCCUGUGUCCGUACUUUUGCAGGAACAGGAGGAUAACAACCCUAGUCCGAUUUUCCCUUGAUGGGCUAGGUAAAGAGGCAUGGUGACCUCUGACCGCAAGGUGGCCUCUGCCCAGCCUCUCUCUCUCUCUCUGGCUCCGGUCUACCAGCUGAAGAGCUUCAUGAAGCUCUUGAAGCCGUCCUCCCCGAAGAAGUCGAAGGAGCCCUGGGAGGUUCCCAGGUGCACCAGGAGGAGCACCAGCAGCACCACGGCCAGCAGGGGGACCAGCAUGUUCCAGCCCGCAGCCAGGAUGUUGUACCACUUGGCCUUGUCUGAGCACUCCUGGGCCAGCUGCAGGUUGCCCUGGGUCUUCUGGUCUCUGGCCUGGAUGGGUGCAAAGACACGGAACCGAUUCAGAAGACAAGCAGGCCUAAGGCGUCCAGAUGGGUGUCCUUGUUGCCGUGCUUGAGGAUGAUGACGCACCUAAUGCACAGCCCACUGUCUUCAACAUUGCUGUCGCGUUGGAGCAUCUACUGUUGUAGAUGCCUUGCACGGAGGGGAGAUGGCUGCCGGUGAUACGCUCCGCUGUCUUCACCACCCUCUGCAGGGCCUUGCGGUCGGCAGCGGAGCAGCUACCAUACCAGGCAGUGAUGCAGCCUGAGAGGAUGCUCUCAAUGGUGCCUCUGUAAAAAACAUAAGUAGCAUAGACAUUUUGUCGGUAAACAGUUACUGAAAUAUAUUCAAUUUUUUUGCUUUGGAUGUUGCGGCAGGGGCUGUUUAUAAUGUUAACGUUUAAACUUUUCAUUUAUUUUAAACUUGCAAAAUGGUUUAAAAUGCAAAAGCUGGUUUAUUGUCCGUUUGUGUAAUUGUUAAUAGGAUUUACUUUGUAAGACAAACUCAAAAUGGACGUUUUUACACACGAAUGAUUCAACAUCAUAUUGACGUAGAAUUCUUAGUCUGUGCAACUAGAUUUGUGAAGCUUUAGGUUUCUUUUAUUUAGGGAGGGGGAGAGGAGAGGGAGGCAGGGGGAAAGGGAGACGAGGAGUUGAAGAUGGAGGCAGGGGGAGAGGAGGAGAGGGAGACGGGGGGAGCGAGGAGAGGGAGAAGGAGACAAGAAACAAUUUGCCUCAACAUUAAAUAUACUUGGUACAACUGUAGGAAUUAAGUUGGCACAACUGUGAUAGUUUAUUUUAAGUUUGAGUUGACAUGAAAAUCCAGUCCUUUACUUUAAUGCAGUUUAUAUCUUUAAAGCAGUCAUUUAACCCAUAAAAUGCACCUGGUUUGAGACUAUGGCCAAAGUUGACCAAUGUCAUGCACUUCACCAUAAGCAUUUCACAAUCAGUACAUAGUGUGAGAGUUCCACUAUUUUAAAAAAUACAUGCCUUAGUUAAGGCCACAACUUC